UGCACAGACUGCUCACCACAAGAGACUACUUCUGAGCAUCCUUCUCCUUCAAGGUCUGCUCUCACAGGAACCGGAGUCAGACCUACUAACACAGUGCCACAGAGCCAACACGAACAAGGACAGGAAGUGACAUCAAUGGAGCAGAACGACAAGGGCACAUUGGAAACUGAGAAACAGUAAAUGAAUGGUCAAACAGAAGAAGCACCUCAAGAGACGACCACACCUGAAGAGCCGGCUAAUAUAAGUGAGAAUAAUUCAGAUAAAAAUGAUCAAGAAAUAAGUGAGAACAAUGCAGAAAAGAACGAAGAAGAAAUAAGUGUGAACAAUUGAGAUCAGAAUGAAGAGGAAAAUGCGAAGGAAGAAGAGGAUGAAUCGGCUGAUGGUUUCCAGGCUUCGGUCGAGAUGUCAAUCCGGCAAUUUGAGAAGGACGAAAACAACCGCCCUAUUUGCAGAUAGCGGACUCCGCCGUGAAUGAGCUUGGUGCUUCUGCUGCUGGUGCCUGAUGAAAAAUCGCUCCGUUCUACCAGG